UGUAGGUUUAAAAAAAGUCAACGAACCUUCUUCUUCUUCUUCUUUUUUUUUUUUUUAAGAGGAGAAAAGGAGUGGGUAGGGAGAGCAAGAGAAUCUUAAGCAGGCUCCAUGCCCAGUGCAGAGCCUAAAGCAGGGGCUUCACCUCGGUCUCAGUCUCUCAAUCCUGAGAUCGUGGCUGGAGCCAAAAUCAAGAGUUGGACACUUAACUGACUAAGCAGCCCAGGUGCCCCAAAAGUUAAACAACCUUAAAGGCAGAAACAUUUGCAGUCUUGUUAGCUAUUUCAAUUCAUUCAAACCUUAUCUUACUGGGCUUCAGUUUAUUAGGUGAAAAUGGCAAGCAAUGAUUAUUACUACAUUGUAGAGGUAGAAAUAUUAAAUAAUUUAAAGGAUCUGAUUGUAUCACCAUUAGUAGGUAUCUUAAAUGAAUUACUUCCCUGAUUAUAUUUUCAUAUCUCACAUAGUCUUUGUCUAAAAAGGGAAUUUAGAAGUAGUCAGUAGUGAAGUGGCAAGUAUCAUGGGCCUUGGGUAGGAAGGCAGAGCACAGUACCAACGAGCACCAUGGUAUUAAGAUUUUGAGCACUAAAAAUGACUUUCAGGAAAGCAGAUGUGAUCUCAGGACUUCAGUGAAGAUAAACCACCUUCUCAGGAAGCAGAGAAUUGUACCUUAAUUUUAAUUUUUCAGCAGUAUUGUCAUCCAUUUAAUAUGGAUUUUAAAAGACACAAUGAAACCCUAAUAAUAAGGUCCUCAUUUUCCUGGGUGAGAAUCUUUGGAUGAAACUGGAUAUGCAUUGUUAUCUGUUUUACUUUGUCCAAAAGUGGUCCGCAUUGUAUAUUGCUUCGCAGUCUGUUAAAAUAAUCUUCUAAUAAACACGAAGACCCAAAUUCCUGGUGCAGAUAAGAAAACUACGCACAUUCCUACCUUCUCCAAACAGCCAGGAUUAGAUCAAAAGGCAACCUUAUGACACUUGGAGCACAAACCCUCUGGGCGCGCACAGAUGGGUCAACCGACAAGUCACAACGUCUGGGAAGCGAGAGAGAAGCGAAAUUCCCGCACUUACAUCAAGCGAAUUCUUAGCAGAACCUUAAACAUUCACCCAGGGGAACUGAGAGUGGCGGGCGGGGAGGACAUCGGUCCUGUAACGAUCCCCGACGAUCAGUCGUCUGUUACGUGCGCUCAGAACAGCCAACAAAGAGCCUCCGUUGCGCUUGUCCUCCAGUCCCACGUCGCCCGGGACUGUACGGCAAAAGGACACCGCGGAGGGUAUGGGGGGCGGGGGCUCGCUCCGCGCUGGGGGCGGGUCCGGGCGGCCGCUCCCUCCGCCCCUGGAGUAGCUGCCACCUCCUGGCAGCGCCCCAGCUCAGCAGCUCAGACGCGGCCGCAUCCCCUGGACUGUAGAGGCGGCAGCGAGCCCGAGCCAGCAUCGCUGCUCUCGGCCACAGCGAGGCUGGGAGAGCCCGAGCGCGAGGACACCUGGCCCAGGCGCGGCGGGAAGCUCUGCGCGCCGCUGGGAUCACAGUAUACUGAAAAGUACUCAAUCAAGAGAAAUCUGGGGGAAGCUGGGAACCAUCAAGUUAUUGAGGCCACACAGGGAGCAGAAGAAGGACAGACGUAGGAAAGAAAGUUUAUCAGAGUUUCUUCCUAAACCUCUUAGAGAUAACAGCAUAUUUUAAUCAGAGACCUGUAAGUAUCCUUUUCUUCUUUAUUUAGAAAAUUAGAUAUUGAUUUUGUGGAAGAAUUGGCUCCUUCAAGAAUACUCUUGACAGGAUAUGGCUAAACAAUCUGAGUUGGCAUGCAAAAUUUGAGUGAGAGUAAAACACACAGAAAAUCACCUCUCAAAACCCAAAACAAAGAAAUCAAAACUGCUGUUAGAAAACCAUCAAAUCUAUCUAUAGCUUGUGAACGUUUGACUUAUUUUUUGGCAAUUUCUCUGUCUUGAUGUCACUGUCAUUACUUUUUUCCCCUUUGUGAAAAUAUCUGUGUGUGUGCAUAUUUUAGGAAGUCUGUAACAUCAAUGAGAAGGAAGAGGAAAAGGGUAGGGUGUGAACACAGGAAAGGGAAGAAUUUGUAUUCUGUAAAAAGUUACAUGGCUUUGGGGCACCUGGGUGGCUCAGUCAUUAAGUGGCUGCCUUUGGUUCAGGUCACAAUCCCAGAGUCCUGGGAUGGAGGCCCAUAUUGAGCUCCCUGCUCGGCGGGAAGCCUGCUUCUCCCUCUCCCACUCCUCCUGCUUGUGUUCCCUCUCUUGCUGUGUGUGUAUGUCUCUCUCUCUCUGUCAAAAAAAAAAAAAAAAAAAAAAAAAGAAAAAGUUACAUGGCUUUGGACGACUGUAUUUUCCAGUCACACUUUCAGGGAAAUUUUGUACAAAAUCAGACCUACGUCUCCUAAUAGCUAAGGUUCAGUCACUUUCAUCAUAUUUUUGAAGUGUCUGUUACUCUGCUAGAUGCAAAACUGGCCAACUCAGGAACAGGGAACUGGGGACACCCUUCCUGCUUCAAUUUAACAAGAGGCCAAGACAAGCAUAUCUUUUCACAAGCAGGUAUUUUAUCAGAUAAACUGAGAAGACUCAAUGAGAAGAAGAAGAAAAAUCUUUGUCUUAAAAGCAUAUCUGUAGCAACAGCAUUUAAUAUUUUGUUCCCUGAAAGACAUUUGACAUCUCAUGUAGUCCUCUUCUAGCACUAAGACAAAUAAUCGUCAUACUGAGCUGAAGAGCACAGAGUCUAGGGCCCGUUUAGUAAACAGACAAUGAAGCAGUCAGUAGCUAAAGUCUGGAGCUGAGAGGUUCUUCACUGGUGGUAAGAGAUUAGCAUACUUCUGGGCUUCUCAACUGUAAAUAUUUGUGUUGACUAGAGUUGAUAACUACCUUAGAUUAUUUUAUGAUUCUAGGACAUCCUUGAAAUUUUGUUGCUUAGUAGUUAAUAGUCAUUUUAUCUUGGGUAAUCUAUGCUUAUUAUACUGAUUUUAACAUGUGUGUAGUAGCUAAUAAAACCAGCCAGCAGGAACAGAGAG
rnacentral:lncRNA from 1 species